rnacentral:sRNA from 1 species
UUAUAAUAGCCCUCCAAAUGGGUGUGACGUAUUUUGAUUCUAUGUCCCUAAUGACUAGUGAUGUUGAGCAUUUUCUAGCAUUGAUUUUUAAGAUGAUGUUACCCAAAGACCCCUUUAUCAAAAUAAGCUGGAUUUUUUUAUUGAAAAUUAUUAACUCUAGGAAUUUUAGUUAACUAGACUUAGGGAUAUGUGUAUUUUACCAGUAUUCCACGUUUUAUGCAUGGGUUUUUAAAACUUCUCAAGUAUUAAAACUAAAAGCUUUAGGUGCUUUGCUUAUCAAGAAAUCCUACACUGUCCACUGGAGGCAUCCAUGUUUUUACUUGGCUCUGCCCCUUUAGUGGUCCCUCUGAACCUUACCUCAAACCAUGCAUCUGGGGCAGAGAUCCUUACUUGCUUGGUGGUUACAAAUGCAAAUACAGUGAAGAAUGUCAUCUUUGUGAUUGUUCCUGAAAUAGUUCACGAGAAAUCCAUGACCGUAAAGUACUGUGAUUGAUAGUGAUGUCUACCACUGUGAGCUUCCAGUACUAGGUGAUUGGUCUGCAUUUACAGUGACCAAAAUCAACUAUGUGGCCAGGUAAUUCACUGCUGAGGGCUUUGGAUUUUCCUUUAUGAACUACUGAAAUGAGGUCAACUUGACUAUUACUAAGGGACAUUUUGCUACAAAGGGAAUUUUGCCAAUUCCCUUUCCAAAUCUAAAAUUUAUUUUAACCAGGAUUUUAGAUGUAAACAUCAAGUAGUUUUGGUUGUUUCAAUGAAGUAACAUGUUUAAGCUCACAUUAUUUGAAGUACUUCAGUUCCUAUCCCCAUGAAAAUUGUAAACAGCAGCUAAAAAAAAAAAAAAAAAGACUACAGUUAGUCAUUAUCCAAUUUGAUGAUUUAUGGUCCAACACUAAUGCUCAUUUUGUUUGUUUGUUUUACGAACAUUUGGUGGAUACCACAGUGAAAACUGCACUUAAAAAAAAAAAAAAAAAAAAACGCUGAAAGAGGAAGGAGAUAUCAAAAAGGUCUGAAUAGACAACAGGCAAAUCUGCUUCCACCUACCAAAAGAGUUUUAGGUUGGCAGACAGAUGGGUGCCUUAUUUUCUGUGAAACUGAAGUUUUAAACACUGGCCAGAAAAUGUUUGAUUGCCAUUUCAACACAUGGAAAUAGUUACAUUGAUGCCUAAAUUGCCAUUUUCUGCAAAAAGCUGUGCAAUGCUGGUGUCAAAGACUAGACAGUCGCUAUUCAUAAUGGCUGUUGCAAUUCCUUCAUGAAUAGAUCGAGGAGUCGCUUCCCAAGUCAAUCGUCGCCUAUGACCAUUUAGCUCAAGUCGGUAAGCAAAAUUUUCAGCUUGCUUGCGUGUUCCUAUCAGCUGUACGAUUGCGAAGAACUGCUGGUGACCAUCGUAUUUUUCCUGUUUCUCUAAGACUAACAUGAAGUGAAAGCCAAAACAGGACUGCAUCAUCACCCAGUCAACAGCACCAGGAAGAUUAAUGUCUGUAGCAAGGAAAACUAUAUCCUCUCCCUGUAGGGUUGUAAUGGACUUAUGCUGAUGCAUCAGAUGGGGCAUUACAGCAUCCAGAGAGCCUUGCCAUUUACAGGAAGCACCAGGGCACGGACAGGAAUAAGGCCUAAACUCACAGAGCUCUUCAUGGUCUGCUUUUUCUGUGUGUGGCAGAGUUAUUUCACAUCCAGAAGAGGCAUAUUUACAGGGGAAAAGUACUGAAUUAGCCACUUUCUCCAUAGCCAAGUUGCGAAUGGAUCCCAAAGGGCCCCGGCAAGUUGGACAACAUGUGAGCUUUGGGCGACAGUUGCUACAAACAAGAUGGCCACUCUGACAUUGAAGAAUGGGUGGUAACACAUAGUCAAAGCAGACUGGACACUCAAAAAGACUCGCCAAGUCAUUGUUGGAUGCAGUUGUGCCAGUCAGGGCAGGCACCCUCUGGGAUGGUGGACACUUCGAGGUACCGGUAGGUAAUGCUGUAGCAGUCUGACGGCUCAUUUCUGAAAUAAAUACAUAAGGAGGCAGGAGAAAAAUAAUUAUAACCAUGACUUACUUUAUAAAUAAUGUUUACAUGCCAUAAGUCCUUUUAAAGUUUCAUACAAAAUUUACUGAGCAAAAGAGGAAGAAAAAUAGGAUUAAAAAAGUAAGAUAUUAAAAAAAUAAAAUUACACUGAAUGUGCACUUUAUUAGGAUCUGUACACUGGAUAAGCUCUCUUUUCAAAAUGUUCCGGAAAACAUUUGGAACUCCCUUAAUCGUCUUUGGAUAGACUACAUGGAAUAAUAAAUGCUAAAAUAGAAAAUGGACCAUAAG